rnacentral:rRNA from 1 species
AGUGAACGCUGGCGGUAGGCCUAACACAUGCAAGUCGAACGGCAGCACAGUAAGAGCUUGCUCUUACGGGUGGCGAGUGGCGGACGGGUGAGGAAUACAUCGGAAUCUACUUUUUCGUGGGGGAUAACGUAGGGAAACUUACGCUAAUACCGCAUACGACCUACGGGUGGAAGCAGGGGAUCUUCGGACCUUGCGCGAUUGAAUGAGCCGAUGUCGGAUUAGCUAGUUGGCGGGGUAAAGGCCCACCAAGGCGACGAUCCGUAGCUGGUCUGAGAGGAUGAUCAGCCACACUAGAACUGAGGCACGGUCCAGACUCCUACGGGAGGCAGCAGUGGGGAAUAUUAGACAAUGGGCGCAAGCCUGAUCCAGCCAUACCGCGUGGGUGAAGAAGGCCUUCGGGUUGUAAAGCCCUUUUGUUGGGAAAGAAAAGCAGCAGGUUAAUACCCCGCUGUUCUGACGGUACCCAAAGAAUAAGCACCGGCUAACUUCGUG